rnacentral:rRNA from 1 species
UACCUGCGGAGGGAUCAUUACCGAGUUUACAACUCCCAAAACCCCUGUGAACAUACCACUUGUUGCCUCGGCGGAUCAGCCCGCUCCCGGUAAAACGGGACGGCCCGCCAGAGGACCCCUAAACUCUGUUUCUAUAUGUAACUUCUGAGUAAAACCAUAAAUAAAUCAAAACUUUCAACAACGGAUCUCUUGGUUCUGGCAUCGAUGAAGAACGCAGCAAAAUGCGAUAAGUAAUGUGAAUUGCAGAAUUCAGUGAAUCAUCGAAUCUUUGAACGCACAUUGCGCCCGCCAGUAUUCUGGCGGGCAUGCCUGUUCGAGCGUCAUUUCAACCCUCAAGCACAGCUUGGUGUUGGGACUCGCGUUAAUUCGCGUUCCUCAAAUUGAUUGGCGGUCACGUCGAGCUUCCAUAGCGUAGUAGUAAAACCCUCGUUACUGGUAAUCGUCGCGGCCACGCCGUUAAACCCCAACUUCUGAAUGUUGACCUCGGAUCAGGUAGGAAUACCCGCUGAACUUAAGCAUAUCAAUAAGCCGGAGGAA